GUCCGUAAAGGUGGAUGAGUGGUGUUUGGUUUGUUACGUGUGGUUGGCUGCGGCGUUUGCAACAACUUCCAUGCUCUCAGACCUCUUCAGUUGUGCGGCAAGGCUUGUAUCGCCUUGAGCGUACUGUGGGUUUUCUGUGUUGGCUACCUAAUCAAUGGUAUCGGUUGGAUUGAUCAAAGUUUGAUUUCGUCUUCCGUCGCAUUCGCGGCGCGAGGCGAACCUCGAUGCGGUCUCUUUGAUCCACCUCGUUGAAGCACGUGCUUUGACGUUGUGGCACAUUGAGCAUUGCUUGGUCUCUUGUAUACGGAACAUAUAGUGGGCAUGGAUCUAACGAUCCUUGUUUGCCCUCAUAUUAGCGUAACGCUUCUCUAACACGACUUGCGCCAUGUUUUAGCUCGUACGGACGUGGC
rnacentral:misc_RNA from 1 species